rnacentral:misc_RNA from 1 species
UAAAUAUUCUAAAAUAUUUUAUGUAUUGUCUUUUAUCUUGCUAAUUAGAGGUAAUAAAUACAUGUAUUUUUGUUGUUCAGGUAUUAGACGUUAAAGUUUAAAUUUUUAGUUUAUUUUUCAGUCAAAUUUUACCUAAGAUCUAUUACCGUAAUUAACUAGCAAAUUAAAGUAACGUUAAAUAUGAAAAUAAGUAUCCAUAUAAGUAUAAACAUGAAGCUAGGGACUAAUAUAAAAAACUCGUGAUCCUACAUCACGCAGUUGAAGUUUUCAAGCUACUCUCGCUUAUAUAG